rnacentral:rRNA from 1 species
UACGUAGGGGGCGAGCGUUGUCCGGAGUUACUGGGCGUAAAGCGCUUGUAGGCGGUCCACCAAGUUUGGGGUGACAGUUGCCGACUUAAUCGGCAAAGUGCCUCAAAGACUGGCGGACUUGAGGGCCACAGAGGGACAUGGAACUCCAGGUGUAGUGGUGAAAUGCGUAGAUAUCUGGAAGAACACCAAUGGCGAAGGCAGCUCGCUGGGACGGUACUGACGCUGAGACGCGAAAGCGUGGGGAGCAAACAGG